AUCAAAGUGAACAGGGUAGUGCCCAUAACCUAUAAAGGAGAAAACGCCCGAUGCGCGUUUUGGUGCAAACCUGCCUUGCAAAUUUAAUGGUUUAUUUUGUAAACUUAUAUGUGCUACUGUAAUCAAAAUCACUAAAUGGUGUUCAGCUACACUAUAUGGACAAAAUAUUGGGACACACCUCUUAAUAAUUUAAUUCACGUGUUUCAAUCAGGCCAAUUGCCACAAGUGUAUAAAAUCAAGCAUCUAGCCAUGC